AUUGAACGCUGGCGGCAGGCCUAACACAUGCAAGUCGAGCGGAUGAGUGGAGCUUGCUCCAUGAUUCAGCGGCGGACGGGUGAGUAAUGCCUAGGAAUCUGCCUGGUAGUGGGGGACAACGUUUCGAAAGGAACGCUAAUACCGCAUACGUCCUACGGGAGAAAGCAGGGGACCUUCGGGCCUCGCGCUAUCAGAUGAGCCUAGGUCGGAUUAGCUAGUAGGUGAGGUAAUGGCUCACCUAGGCGACGAUCCGUAACUGGUCUGAGAGGAUGAUCAGUCACACUGGAACUGAGACACGGUCCAGACUCCUACGGGAGGCAGCAGUGGGGAAUAUUGGACAAUGGGCGAAAGCCUGAUCCAGCCAUGCCGCGUGUGUGAAGAAGGUCUUCGGAUUGUAAAGCACUUUAAGUUGGGAGGAAGGGCAGUAAGUUAAUACCUUGCUGUUUUGACGUUACCAACAGAAUAAGCACCGGCUAACUUCGUGCCAGCCGCCGCAGUAAUAC
rnacentral:rRNA from 1 species